GAUUAUUCACUUCCCGAGGGGCUCGCAGCCCAUCAGCUUGUUGGUGAGGGUAACGGCCCACCAAGGCGACAACGGGUAGCUGGUCUGAGAGGAUGGUCAGCCACACUGGAACUGAGACACGGUCCAGACACCUACGGGUGGCAGCAGUCGAGAAUCAUUCGCAAUGGGGGAAACCCUGACGAUGCGACGCCGCGUGGAGGAUGAAGGCCUUAGGGUUGUAAACUCCUGUCAAGAGGGAAUAAGCAAGUGAAGGUACCUCUAGAGGAAGGGGCGGCUAAUUCCGUGCCAGCAGCCGCGGUAACACGGAAGCCCCGAGCGUUGUUCGGAUUCAUUGGGCGUAAAGGGUGCGUAGGCGGCGCGGAAAGUCCGGCGUGAAAGGCAGAGGCUCAACCUCUGGACUGCGUUGGAUACUUCCGUGCUUGAGGACUGGAGGGGAGACUGGAAUUCACGGUGUAGCAGUGAAAUGCGUAGAUAUCGUGAGGAAGACCGGUGGCGAAGGCGAGUCUCUGGACAGAUCCUGACGCUGAGGCACGAAGGCUGGGGGAGCGAACAGGAUUAGAUACCCUGGUAGUCCCAGCAGUAAACGAUGUGAGCUUGAUGUGGGGGGAUUCGACCCCUUCCGUGUCGAAGCUAACGCGAUAAGCUCACCGCCUGAGGAGUACGGCCGCAAGGCUAAAACUCAAAGAAAUUGACGGGGACCCGCACAAGCGGUGGAGUAUGUGGCUUAAUUCGAUGCAACGCGAAGAACCUUACCUGGCCUUGACAUGCAUUGUGUCGUCGGUGAAAGCCGGCUAGUCCUGGAAACAGGACGCUUUGCACAGGUGCUGCAUGGCUGUCGUCAGCUCGUGUCGUGAGAUGUUGGGUUAAGUCCCGCAACGAGCGCAACCCUUGUGGUCAGUUACUAACCGGCUUAGCCGGAGGACUCUGGCCAGACUGCCCUGUCAAACGGGGAGGAAGGUGGGGACGACGUCAAGUCAGUAUGGCCCUUAUGGCCAGGGCUGCACACGUACUACAAUGCCCGAUACAAUGUGAACCGAAACCGCGAGGUGGAGGAAAUCGCUCUUGAAAACCGGGCCCAGUUCGGAUUGGAGUCUGCAACUCGACUCCAUGAAGUCGGAA
rnacentral:rRNA from 1 species